GUGCUUGGCUCAGCAGCAGAGCUACUCAAACUGGAAUGGUACAGAGAAGAUUAGCAUGGUCCCUGCACAGGGAUGACACACAAAUUUGUGAAGUGUUCCGUAAAAAA
rnacentral:snRNA from 1 species